GUACACGACACAGGGCAAAGGAAAUCCGUGUUCAGCAACUAUGUUAAAUGCCAUGUACGUAAAUUUUACAAAGCUACUCGUUCGAAGUGCACAUAGUGCAUAUUGAAGAAAAGUUUCCAGGGUAGAUAAUUCGUAAUUUACACUAAUUUUGCUCUAACCACGAGACAAAUAAUUUGAAUAUACUGCACGGAAAAACCUAGAGCGAAUUAAAUUGUGUCAGCUUCGUGUGUAUACAUAUAGUCUUUCCUAUGCAUUAGGUUUUUUGCGUAAUGCAUUAACAGUUUACAGCCUAUCUUAUGAUGUGUACUCUGUUUACAUUACAGUUGUUUAUUAGUUUACUCGUUUGUUUUGCGACUGAUGAAAUGCCGGCAUAUAUAUAUUUUCAACAUUUGACAUAACCCUGUAUGUUUUGCAGGGACAACCCAGGACGUGCAUUUCUCAGCACCCAGUCAACUGCCAAAAGUGACUCAAACACAGGCCACCAGUGGAACUCGGCUGUACCACUGCAGUGCUGCGGAAAUUGCCUUCACCAGCGGCUUUGCAACAGCUGUUUCGCAGCAUGUCGGAGACAAUGCCUACGAAAUUAUUGGCCCUGAUCAUGAGAGCCCUCAAGGGGCAAACAACAUCUCUGUUGCAGAAGUGAGCCCGAUACCACUUGGAAGUUACCAUGACAGAUGACACGGCAGCAAUAGAUACAGAGACUGCCAUGUCUGCGGCAGCUGCAACAGUGUACGAGGCAAGCAGCAGCGCGUCAGCAUCAGCAGCACUGUCAGAAGGAACCACACCAGGCCUGGUAGAGCAACAUGUGUGCUAUCACUGACUAUUUUUGUAGUGGAUACAACUCAUUUGCUCAACAUACAAAAGCUUUUCACCACGACUGUGAGCCAGUGUUAUUGUGCAGCAAGUGCAAGACUAAGUUAGGUGUUAUAACACAGUACAAGCAUCACUUUAAUAUAUGCAAAUGCAAACAUAUUACAGUUGUUGCCUCCCCAGCCAGCCCACAUAGUGACAACAAUGUGGAACACAUGGUGGGACACACCUCUCCCCCAUUACAAGAUAGUAGAGACUGUCAGUGUUGUUGCUAGAUUGACUGGUCUUUGUAGGCAACUAGAAGGACAACACAGGUGUCAUAAGAUUGUUGUUGAUGUUGUUGUUGAAGAGGUAAAAAAGAAGUUUGAUGCAGCUGAAGUGCCAACUGAUAUUGAGCAAAUCAAAAGCAACCACCUGAGAAAGCAACACUAUCGAAAUUUGGGUAUCUAUGUGCCGCCAACUCUGGUAAGAAUGGCAUAGGACAGAAGUGUGAUGAAAAUCACACAGACACUGCUGUUGCAUCACUGGCCACAGUGAGCAGCGACUUGUAGGGCAAGAGAGUCAACUGAAACUAACAUUAUGAUAUAGUGUCAUGCUCCCAUGUGACCACUUUUCAAGUUAUUUUGCAAGAUACAGCUCAACCUCCAGAAACGAGACUGCAACUUGUCUGUAAAAAAGCUUUCACAAAAAAUUAUUCAUAACACUAUUAACAUAGCAGUAUCUUUUUUUUUUUUGUGUCGGUUCGAGGUUCCCGGCUGUCCAUUAAUGCAAAAAUUGAGGAAAAAAAGAACAUGUGUCGUACUUGCACCUUUUUAACAAGUACGAGGGGGACAGAACUUUUCUAGUCAUGCAUCUUCAUCAUACUAUCAAGUUUUUAAAUGCCUUUUAUAAUUAUUAUUACCAGUUAUAUCUGAGUGCAUUGUAUGCAUGUAGCAGGUGUAAAAUCAGGUCAGUUGGAUCAGAUGCCUUAUCUGCAAGCGAGCCCUAUAUUCAAGAAAUUUGAAUUAAAAUAGUUACGUUAGAGACGCAGUCUUUCAGUACUUUAUUGCCUGUGGUUUAAGCAUUGCUCAAUACUUUUGUGGGUGGCAAUUUCAACCGGCACAGCACUGCGCUUUGCCACAGUCACAUUUGUCUUCAAAGCGGUGUUUACCAUUUGUGUUGAUCUGUUUGUGUAUGCAUAGAGCAAGUUUUUAAUUUAUAUUUUUCUGCAUUCUUGUGCUUGCACUAAGCUUGUAUAAGGCACUUACAAAAUGUGCGUCACUAUAACGAACUGUUCUGUUGAGCUUACACUUGCAAACAAUCGUGUUCAGAUGGCCGCACUUCUAUGCGGGUGCACCGCUAGCUUUGUGUAUGUUCUCAUGUUUGUAUAAAGCUUACAUAAGCCAGUUAGAAAAUGUAUGUCACUAAGCAUUGUGAUAUUCUUUAAAGAACUGCUUGGUUGGUUUUACACUUGUGAAUUAGUAUUGAGGCGGUGGUAUUCCCAUGUAUGCCCACUGCUAGCUUUCUGUGUCCUCACGUGUUUGUAUUAAGUUUCUACAAGGGAGUUACAGCAUGUACGUCACUAAGCGCUGUGAUAUUUUUUAAAGAACUGCUUUGUUGGUUUUACACCUGUGAGUAAUAGUACUCGUGUGGCACUAGUCAUGUGUAGGUACACAGGGACCAUUUGUAUACAUUAUGCUCAUGUAAAGCAGUUACAAAGUGUAUGUCACUAAUUACUGUGAUAUUUGUUGAAUUGCUGUGAUGGUUUUACACAUGUGAAUAAUAGUGGUCAGGACACAGUACUUGCGGUGUAUAGUUGAAUUUAUGCACUGCCAAGACAUGGGCUGUAUACGUACCAAAAGAAAUGUAUGUCAUUAUAUUGUUGUGAUUAUUACUGUUUGGAUUUUAUUAAACUGUAAUAAAAUUGUUUCUUGUA